CUUCAACGACCCCAACCACAACGGACGCCCCUCAGCCCGAUCCUGGCCAUACGUGGCCAACACCGCCUGCGCUUC
rfam:Streptomyces violaceusniger Tu 4113, complete genome.